rnacentral:tRNA from 1 species
GCCGAGGUAGCAAAGUCCGGCCUAAUGCGCCGGCCUUGAGAGCCGGUUCCCCGUUUGGGGAGCGGGAGUUCAAAUCUCCCCCUCGGCG